rnacentral:rRNA from 1 species
CUGAUGUGGGGGAUAACCAUUGGAAACGAUGGCUAAUACCGCAUGAUGCCUACGGGCCAAAGAGGGGGACCUUCGGGCCUCUCGCGUCAGGAUAUGCCUAGGUGGGAUUAGCUAGUUGGUGAGGUAAGGGCUCACCAAGGCGACGAUCCCUAGCUGGUCUGAGAGGAUGAUCAGCCACACUGGAACUGAGACACGGUCCAGACUCCUACGGGAGGCAGCAGUGGGGAAUAUUGCACAAUGGGCGCAAGCCUGAUGCAGCCAUGCCGCGUGUGUGAAGAAGGCCUUCGGGUUGUAAAGCACUUUCAGUCGUGAGGAAGGUGGUGUAGUUAAUAGCUGCAUUAUUUGACGUUAGCGACAGAAGAAGCACCGGCUAACUCCGUGCCAGCAGCCGCGGUAAUACGGAGGGUGCGAGCGUUAAUCGGAAUUACUGGGCGUAAAGCGCAUGCAGGUGGUUUGUUAAGUCAGAUGUGAAAGCCCGGGGCUCAACCUCGGAAUUGCAUUUGAAACUGGCAGACUAGAGUACUGUAGAGGGGGGUAGAAUUUCAGGUGUAGCGGUGAAAUGCGUAGAGAUCUGAAGGAAUACCGGUGGCGAAGGCGGCCCCCUGGACAGAUACUGACACUCAGAUGCGAAAGCGUGGGGAGCAAACAGGAUUAGAUACCCUGGUAGUCCACGCCGUAAACGAUGUCUACUUGGAGGUUGUGGCCUUGAGCCGUGGCUUUCGGAGCUAACGCGUUAAGUAGACCGCCUGGGGGAGUACGGUCGCAAGAUUAAAACUCAAAUGAAUUGACGGGGGGCCCGCACAAGCGGUGGAGCAUGUGGUUUAAUUCGAUGCAACGCGAAGAACCUUACCUACUCUUGACAUCCAGAGAACUUUCCAGAGAUGGAUUGGUGCCUUCGGGAACUCUGAGACAGGUGCUGCAUGGCUGUCGUCAGCUCGUGUUGUGAAAUGUUGGGUUAAGUCCCGCAACGAGCGCAACCCUUAUCCUUGUUUGCCAGCGAGUAAUGUCGGGAACUCCAGGGAGACUGCCGGUGAUAAACCGGAGGAAGGUGGGGACGACGUCAAGUCAUCAUGGCCCUUACGAGUAGGGCUACACACGUGCUACAAUGGCGCAUACAGAGGGCGGCCAACUUGCGAAAGUGAGCGAAUCCCAAAAAGUGCGUCGUAGUCCGGAUUGGAGUCUGCAACUCGACUCCAUGAAGUCGGAAUCGCUAGUAAUCGUGGAUCAGAAUGCCACGGUGAAUACGUUCCCGGGCCUUGUACACACCGCCCGUCACACCAUGGGAGUGGGCUGCAAAAGAAGUAGGUAGUUUAA